rnacentral:lncRNA from 1 species
UGAGGUCCUAAAGUUCAGAGUCUUACUCUGCUAAGAUUGGUGACGUUAUACAAAGAAGGAGAGCGAGCAAUCUCUCCCUCUUUGUGUGCAGGCAUGUUGAGGCAAGGUCACGGUGAGAAGGUGACCAUGUGCACACCAGGAAGAGAGCCCUCAUCCAAAUCAAAGCCUACCAGAUCUUAAUCCGGGACUUCUAGCCUCCAGAACCAUGAGAGGUGGACAGAGAUCCUGUUGCAGAAGCCACCCCUAGCAGACCGAGACACACGUAUGGACAGAAAAAAAGAAAUCCAUCAGCACAGAAAGCGAGGACCUGAGCAUCCCACCCCCAGCCCUGGGGCUCUGUAUUUGGAUUGUGGCUUUUGGCAGGACUUUUCUCCAUCUGGAUCUGCUACAGCUCAGCCCUAGAGCUGCACUCUCUGCGGCCGCAGGUGCCUGCGCUCGGGGAGAACGCUCUCGGCCUCGCGGCGCCCAGCCACUGCCCCGCCUCCUGCAGCGGCCGACCCGGACUGCCAGCCCCCCAGGGGCCCUUACGUCGUGGUGACCACUCCGACCGCAGGGGUGGAAAAUGGUACCAGUCAAGCCCGAGCUGGAGGAGCCCGCCGCCGCAGCCCUGAC